ensembl:lincRNA
UGAUUUAUAGGGGGGGGUGCAGGGAGGCAUCCACACGUGUGAAAAAAACUGGAAGAAAUUGAUUUAUGUGCUUAUGGGGGCUGACUGGGUAAAUCCAAAAUCUGGAGGGCAGGUGAUAGAAGGGCUGAAAAGAGUGAACACAAUUAGCUCUGGCGUUCACAGCAGAAUUUCCUCUGCCUCUAAGAGCCUCAGCUAUUCUUAGAGGACUCUUCCAAAGAUGAACUGAGAUCCACACAGCCACUAGGUGACAAAGUAUUCAUAAACUGAGGACAACUAGCAAAUGCCCUCCGGAGUAACAGAGACAAUACCUAGGGCCUGGAUGUGUGGAGGCCACAGCCUAGCAGAGUUCACACAGGCCUCUGGAGCACCUCAAGCUAACACCUUGUCAGAAGAGUCUGGGGUCCCUCGGAUGUCCUAGUCUUGGAUCUGCUCUGCCAGCAUUAGCCUUGUGACACCGUUCAACCUUGGUGAAUUCCUUAUGUCUCAGUUUCCCAACUGUGAAAUGGAGAUAAUUAUAGUUCUGUAUGUGGUAUGGCUGUAAUAAGGACCAAAGGGACAAGAACGUGAACACAGCUCAUUGUAUGACUUUGUUACCCUGAGGGCCUCACAAGGCAAGUGGGAGGGCCAGACUCCUGGACCAUGGUCCCAAAAGUGGUCUUGGCUUGUGUAGGUCCCCUAGAGGAAAAGGAGAAGCAAGAGGGUUUGAAGGAGGUUUUCAUCUUUAGGGACCCUGACAGCUUUGCUAUGGAGCUUUGCAGCACAGGCAGAUUUCCUUUCUCCAUCAAUUAAAGGAUUCUUGUAGGAGGCACGUGAAGGGCCUCCACACCUUGCUCUCCAAGCAAAGCUGGAGGCAUCAGGAGGCAGGCGCCAGCGGCGAGCAGUCUCCAGGGGGCGCAAUAGAGCUUCUGCUGCGGUCGCGGGCGAGAGGCUCGGGCUUCUGGGCGUUCUUGGAAAACCCUUGGAAAACACUGGACUUCCUGCCACGAAAUGGGUGGGGACCGCAAGCGUUUGCAAUCCCGAGUAACACUGCGCCUGCAACUCCAUUCGCACUGCCAGAUUGGGGGACGCCCAUCACGUGGCCCUGUCUGCUUUACAGGCCAGCUCGAAUUUCUUGGAUCCAGGCUGGUUUCUCUUGGGUCCCUGGAUGACCCAGGCUUUCGCUAUAGAUUGGGAGAAGCAAGCCACAUCUUUAUUCCUCAGUCCAUCCAGGAGAAAGGGUAUGGACAAUGCCUAUCUCCUCAGAAGAACUACACACCCUUCUCCACGGCAGGCAGAAUUGGCCAAUGGAACAAAAGCAGAAUCUCAGUGUCUCCUCCCAUGAGACUGAUAUUAGGGUUCAAACUACAAGCUGAUGAUUAGGAGAGCAAAGCACCCAGCCACUAGCUCUCACCUCUAUCUCAGGCUGAAAGGGCUGAUCCAUGCACGAGCUCUUCACCAAGCCUCAGACUGCUGCCUUUCCUCAGUGUGGCUGGAGAAUGAAUGCCUGAUACUGAGUCCUUGCUCCUGUCUUAUAUACCUCUCAUGAGUCCUGGGAUUAAAGGUGUGAGCUAUAAUUCUCUUUCAGGCUGAUUCACUCUUGUGUAGAUCUGGGUGGCCUUGGACUCACAAAGAUCUGUCUACCUCUUAAUCCGGAGUCCUAGGGUACUGAUGCCUGAGUCCUCUACAGGGAGCCUCAGAGAGGCCAGAGGGAGAGUCAGCACUCCAGGUCCGUGUGACAUCUGAGAGGUGAGGAGCCCCUGCUUUCCGUUCUUGCUCUUCAGGGUCUCUGGAGUAGCAGUCCAGCAGUUUCCCUCCACCAAGGUGUUGAGAGCAGAGAUGCCUACGUGUCUGCCUGAGUCAGCAGCUUGGAAUCCCAAGGUCCCAGAGCAUGUGGAGGACGCCAUGAUAUUUUUCUGUGCCCUUGACUGCAGCAACCUGCAUGGAUCAAGGACUGAUGAUCAGAUAGCCAUCUCAGUGAAGGCUGAUGGGAUUGCUACUGACAGCCAGAUAGGAACCCAGAGGAUGACACUUGAGCAGAGGCCAGCAGGGACAGUGAAGAUAACAAAGACCUCGAGCCUUGAUUCAAAAAGCUCAGGAGCCCACGCUACCAGCGCAGAGCUUGAUCAAGACACUUAAAAUCUGUUUCUGAGAAUAAAUGUUAAACCUUUUUGGUCUCUUUUUUUCCUUAAAGAGGUGUCUGUAGAACUGGUGAGAUGCUUCAGUCAGUAAGGAGGAUAUGAGUUCAGUCUCAAGAACCCACAUCAAAGAACAAACAGACCAAAACCAGACAUGGCAGUGCACACUUCCCAGCCCUGACACUGGGAUGGUGGAGCGGAAUACCUGGGUGGGACCUGGUGGGAUACACUUGAGCAGUAGAGGCAGGCAGAUUUCUGUGAGUCUGCAGCAAACCUGGUCCUUGUAGCAAGUUCCAGGCCAGCUAAGAAUACAUAGUGAUAUUAUCUGUCUCAAAAAACAAAAAAAAAAAAAAAGAGAGAGAGACUAUGUGUCAAGAUUCACCUCUGACCUCCACACAUAAGCAUGCACAUACUUGCCCUUAGUCCACACACACAAAGACAGGGCUGCACUGGAAGGGACAGAAACGGGAUAAAGGAAUAGGAGUAUCUUUGUCAUUAAUUACCCCAUGUGACCUUGAACAGGUUAUUUCAUUUCUCUAGG